UUGCAUAUCCCCAAAAGCGGAGGAAAAGAAACCAACAGGGAUUCCCCUAGUAACGGCGAGUGAAGCGGGAACAGCUCAAAUUUGAAAUCUGGCCCUCGGGUCCGAGUUGUAAUUUGUAGAGGAUGCUUUUGGUGCGGUGCCUUCCGAGUUCCCUGGAACGGGACGCCUUAGAGGGUGAGAGCCCCGUACGGUUGGACGCCUAGCCUCUGUAAAGCUCCUUCGACGAGUCGAGUAGUUUGGGAAUGCUGCUCUAAAUGGGAGGUAUAUUUCUUCUAAAGCUAAAUACUGGCCAGAGACCGAUAGCGCACAAGUAGAGUGAUCGAAAGAUGAAAAGCACUUUGAAAAGAGGGUUAAAUAGCACGUGAAAUUGUUGAAAGGGAAGCGUUUAUCACCAGACUUUUUCUGGGGGGAUCAUCCGGUGUUCUCACCGGUGCACUUCCCCCAGUUGAGGCCAGCAUCGGUUUUCGGAGGGGGAUAAAAGCUUCGGGAAUGUGGCUCCCUCGGGAGUGUUAUAGCCCGUUGCAUAAUACCCUUCUGGGGACCGAGGUUCGCGCAUCUGCAAGGAUGCUGGCAUAAUGGUGAUCAACGACCCGUCUUGAACCCCCGGACCA
rnacentral:rRNA from 1 species